rnacentral:rRNA from 1 species
GAUGAACGCUAGCUACAGGCUUAACACAUGCAAGUCGAGGGGCAGCAGGAUCUAGCAAUAGAUUGCUGGCGACCGGCGCACGGGUGAGUAACACGUAUCCAACCUGCCGAUAACUCGGGGAUAGCCUUUCGAAAGAAAGAUUAAUACCCGAUGGUAUAAUCAGACCGCAUGGUCUUGUUAUUAAAGAAUUUCGGUUAUCGAUGGGGAUGCGUUCCAUUAGGCAGUUGGUGAGGUAACGGCUCACCAAACCUUCGAUGGAUAGGGGUUCUGAGAGGAAGGUCCCCCACAUUGGAACUGAGACACGGUCCAAACUCCUACGGGAGGCAGCAGUGAGGAAUAUUGGUCAAUGGGCGCAGGCCUGAACCAGCCAAGUAGCGUGAAGGAUGACUGCCCUAUGGGUUGUAAACUUCUUUUAUAUGGGAAUAAAGUUUUCCACGUGUGGAAUUUUGUAUGUACCAUAUGAAUAAGGAUCGGCUAACUCCGUGCCAGCAGCCGCGGUAAUACGGAGGAUCCGAGCGUUAUCCGGAUUUAUUGGGUUUAAAGGGAGCGUAGGUGGACAGUUAAGUCAGUUGUGAAAGUUUGCGGCUCAACCGUAAAAUUGCAGUUGAUACUGGCUGUCUUGAGUACAGUAGAGGUGGGCGGAAUUCGUGGUGUAGCGGUGAAAUGCUUAGAUAUCACGAAGAACUCCGAUUGCGAAGGCAGCUCACUGGACUGCAACUGACACUGAUGCUCGAAAGUGUGGGUAUCAAACAGG